UGGGAAUUUUGGACAAUGGGCGAAAGCCUGAUCCAGCAAUGCCGCGUGUGUGAAGAAGGCCUUCGGGUUGUAAAGCACUUUUGUCCGGAAAGAAAUCCUUGGCUCUAAUACAGUCGGGGGAUGACGGUACCGGAAGAAUAAGCACCGGCUAACUACGUGCCAGCAGCCGCGGUAAUACGUAGGGUGCAAGCGUUAAUCGGAAUUACUGGGCGUAAAGCGUGCGCAGGCGGUUUGCUAAGACCGAUGUGAAAUCCCCGGGCUCAACCUGGGAACUGCAUUGGUGACUGGCAGGCUAGAGUAUGGCAGAGGGGGGUAGAAUUCCACGUGUAGCAGUGAAAUGCGUAGAGAUGUGGAGGAAUACCGAUGGCGAAGGCGAGCCCCCUGGGCCAAUACUGACGCUCUGCACGAAAGCGUGGGGAGCAAAACAGGAUUAGAUACCCUGGUAGUCCACGCCCUAAAACGAUGUCAACUAGUUGUUGGGGAUUCAUUUCCUUAGUAACGUAGCUAACGCGUGAAGUUGACCGCCUGGGGAGUACGGUCGCAAGAUUAAAACUUAAAUGAAUUGACGGGGUCAU
rnacentral:rRNA from 1 species